CUAUUACUACCUCCGUCCAACAAAAAAUGUCUCGAUUUUGAUCAAAUUUAAAUGCAUCUAUACAGUAAAUCAUGUUCAGAUACAUCCAAAUUUUGACAAACUUGAGACAUUUUUUGUUGGACGGAGGAAGUAUCUC
rfam:Brachypodium distachyon strain Bd21 chromosome 3, whole genome shotgun sequence.